rnacentral:rRNA from 1 species
UCCUUGUUAGUUUCUUUUCCUCCGCUUAUUGAUAUGCUUAAGUUCAGCGGGUAGUCUUACUUGAUUUGAGAUCGAGUUUAACAAGAAUCGUUGCCGACCCCUGUGAAAUCCUGCAUCAGUCAGCCAAUACGGUCAAACUCCCUUUAUGUUAGCUGCAGCAAAAGUAAUAAUCCGUUUGACGGGACUAAAUGAAUAUGCUUUUAGCUCAGGAGAAUGUCCAGCUGCACCUGCAUUUCAAGCAACCCGCCGCCGAUCUGAAAAAGAUUGGUGUUGGGAUUGCUCAAGUCCAAAACUUUCAAAAAAAAAUCAAAAGCUUUGAGGUGUUUACUGAUACUCAAACAAGCAUGCUCUUCGGAAUACCAAAGAGCGCAAUAUGCGUUCAAAGAUUCGAUGAUUCACUGAAUUCUGCAAUUCACAUUACGUAUCGCAUUUCGCUGCGUUCUUCAUCGAUGCGAGAGCCAAGAGAUCCGUUGUUGAAAGUUGUAUUUUGAAUUGUUUAUUCAUAAUAUUUUUCAGACAAAGUGUUAAAAGAUAAGGUUGAUGUUUGGUCGAUCUCCAUGAAGAGGAUCGGCCGACAUUGCACACAAGGUGGAUAUGGAUUUAAAAAGUGCCAUAAAACACUUAUUAUGAAUGAUCCUUCCGCAGGUUCACCUACGGAAACCUUGUUACGACUUUUACUUCCUCUAAAUGACCAAGUUUGGAUGACUUUUCAGUCCCUAGCUGCUGUUGCCAGCUGCCAAAGUCCAAUCCGAAAGCCUCACUAAGCCAUUCAAUCGGUAGUAGCGACG